GAGCUCGUGGCGGCCGCCCUGACGAGCCUCCGACGCCGGAACACUUGAACGUCACUCCUGUCUUUCUCGCCGUGAAGCUCGUCGACUCGGAACUUAGGAGAGAAAAAUGGCGUCGCGGAAGAGAGGCGGAGGAGCACGUGGGAGGCGGCGUGGCUCUUGGGGGUCUCGAAAGUCUGGAAGCUUGACCUAUUCCUGGGGUUUAGGAAAGCAAGUGAAGCGAAAAUAACAACAUGACCGUGCAGAAAGUCUGGAAACUGGAUUUGUUCAGUGUGGCUGAGUGAAAUGGAAUAACAGCAUGUAACACAGAAAGUCUGGAAGCUCGACCUAUUCCUGGGGUUUAGGAAAGCAAGCAAGUGAAGUGAAGUGAAGUGAAGUGAAGUGAAGUGAAAAUAACAGCAUGACCGUGCAGAAAGUCUAGAAGCUGGAAUGAUUCCCAGAGUGGCAGUUGAAUGAAGUGGAAUAACAGCAUAGGAAGAAGCAGCUGGAACUAUUCCUUGAAGUUCUGGAAAGCAAGAGUGAAAUGAAAAACCAUGAUAGUGCAGAAAGUUUGGAGUACAUCAACUGAAGUGACAGUGAAGACCAGGAAAAAAUUAUUUUAAUGUGGAAGUCAUGUUUCUUCAGUGGUGGUAUUGCACCUGUAGCAGCUUUGACAAGUCAGUUAACCUCAAGUAGGCAUGUUGCCUAGCUUCCGGUUCUAUUGUUGAAAGCGUGUAUUUUCAAGUUGAGUGAAUAUAGGUAAUAUAGGUUCUUGCUGGCAGAGGUCUUUAACACUGGUUAUGAUGCAGAAACCUAGGGUUGUGUAUGUACAUUAGCUUCUUUGUAAGAAAUUCUAGGGUGAAGUAUACAACACUAGACAAACAAGUAGAGAAAAGAUGUAAAAAAAAAAAAACUGUAAUAAAAUUCGAUUAUGCUAA
rnacentral:lncRNA from 1 species